UGGGGGAUAUUGCACAAUGGGCGAAAGCCUGAUGCAGCGACGCCGCGUGGGGGAUGAAGGCCUUCGGGUUGUAAACUUCUUUUGCUCUGAACAAGGCGCACCAUGGGGUGUGUUGAGUGUAGGGGUUGAUUAGCGCCGGCUAACUACGUGCCAGCAGCCGCGGUAAUACGUAGGGCGCGGGCGUUGUCCGGAAUUAUUGGGCGUAAAGGGCUUGUAGGUGGCUGGUUGCGUCUGUCGUGAAAGCUCAUGGCUUAACUGUGGGUUUGCGGUGGGUACGGGCUGGCUUGAGUGCAGUAGGGGAGGCUGGAAUUCCUGGUGUAGCGGUGGAAUGCGCAGAUAUCAGGAGGAAUACCGGUGGCGAAGGCGGGUCUCUGGGCUGUUACUGACACUGAGGAGCGAAAGCAUGGGGAGCGAACAGG
rnacentral:rRNA from 1 species